UGCAAUGUYGMWCGGGUCGGUGCCKKGKUUUYUGCKGGGUGGGUUAGUGGCGAACGGGUGAGUAACACGUGAGUAACCUGCCCCUCACUUCUGGAUAACCGCUUGAAAGGGUGGCUAAUACGGGGUGUUCUGGCUGUGCCGCAUGGUGUGGCUGGGAAAGAUUCACUUUUGUGGUGUUUUGGUGGGGGAUGGGCUCGCGGCCUAUCAGCUUGUUGGUGGGGUGAUGGCCUGCCAAGGCUUUGACGGGUAGCCGGCCUGAGAGGGUGGGCGGUCACACUGGGACUGAGAUACGGCCCAGACUCCUGCGGGAGGCAGCAGUGGGGGGUAUUGCACAAUGGGCGGAAGCCUGAUGCAGCGACGUCGCGUGAGGGAUGGAGGCCUUCGGGUUGUGAACCUCUUUCGCCGGU
rnacentral:rRNA from 1 species